GAUGAACGCUGGCGGCGUGCCUAAUACAUGCAAGUCGAGCGAACAGACGAGGAGCUUGCUCCUCUGACGUUAGCGGCGGACGGGUGAGUAACACGUGGAUAACCUACCUAUAAGACUGGGAUAACUUCGGGAAACCGGAGCUAAUACCGGAUAAUAUAUUGAACCGCAUGGUUCAAUAGUGAAAGACGGUUUUGCUGUAACUUAUAGAUGGAUCCGCGCCGCAUUAGCUAGUUGGUAAGGUAACGGCUUACCAAGGCAACAAGGGGUAGCCGACCUGGGAGGGUGAUCGGCCACACUGGAACUGAGACACGGUCCAGACUCCUACGGUAGGCAGCAGUAGGGAAUCUUCCGCAAUGGGCGAAAGCCUGACGGAGCAACGCCGCGUGAGUGAUGAAGGUCUUCGGAUCGUAAAACUCUGUUAUUAGGGAAGAACAAAUGUGUAAGUAACUAUGCACGUCUUGACGGUACCUAAUCAGAAAGCCACGGCUAACUACGUG
rnacentral:rRNA from 1 species